rnacentral:tRNA from 1 species
GGCCUGAUGGUCUAGUAGUAUGAUUCCUUGUUAGGGUUUUUCCAAUUCGAGGAGGUCCCGGGUUCAAUUCCCGGUUAGGCCC